AAUCCAUAGGUUAAUGAGGCGAACCGGGGGAACUGAAACAUCUAAGUACCCCGAGGAAAAGAAAUCAACCGAGAUUCCCCCAGUAGCGGCGAGCGAACGGGGAGGAGCCCAGAGCCUGAAUCAGCAUGUGUGUUAGUGGAAGCGUCUGGAAAGGCGCGCGAUACAGGGUGACAGCCCCGUACACAAAAGCGCAUGUGCUGUGAGCUCGAUGAGUAGGGCGGGACACGUGGUAUCCUGUCUGAAUAUGGGGGGACCAUCCUCCAAGGCUAAAUACUCCUGACUGACCGAUAGUGAACCAGUACCGUGAGGGAAAGGCGAAAAGAACCCCGGCGAGGGGAGUGAAAAAGAACCUGAAACCGUGUACGUACAAGCAGUGGGAGCCCCACCACCAAAGCAUUUGCUGUACCGCGUUGACGGAGCGAAGCGACG
rnacentral:rRNA from 1 species